rnacentral:rRNA from 1 species
UCGAGAAUUUUUCACAAUGGGCGCAAGCCUGAUGGAGCGACGCCGCGUGGGGGAUGAAUGGCUUCGGCCCGUAAACCCCUGUCAUUUGCGAUCAAACCUCGUUAUUUAAAAGAUGACGAGCUGAUAGUAGCGAAAGAGGAAGGGACGGCUAACUCUGUGCCAGCAGCCGCGGUAAUACAGAGGUCCCAAGCGUUGUUCGGAUUCACUGGGCGUAAAGGGUGCGUAGGUGGCGGGGUAAGUCGGAUGUGAAAUCUCGGAGCUUAACUCCGAAAUUGCAUUGGAAACUACCUUGCUAGAGGGUCGGAGGGGGGACUGGAAUACUUGGUGUAGCAGUGAAAUGCGUAGAUAUCAAGUGGAACACCAGUGGCGAAGGCGAGUCCCUGGACGACUCCUGACACUGAGGCACGAAAGCUAGGGGAGCAAACAGGAUUAGAUACCCCCGUAGUCC